GUAGUAAUGUCAUAGUCAAUCAGUGUGGAUUCAGAUACGUUAGUAAUGUUAUAGGUCAGAUCAGUUUAGUAAAGUUAUAGUCACAUUCAGUGUUAUAGGUCAGAUCAGUUUAGUAAUGUCAUAGUCACAAUCAGUUUAUUAUAGGUCAGAUGAGUUUAGUAAUGUUAUAGUCAAUCAGUGUUAUAGGUCAGAUCAGUUUAGUAAUGUCACAGUCAUAAUCCGUGUUAUAGGUCAGAUGUAGUUAGUAUGUAAAAGUCAUGAUGUUAUAGGUCAAUCAGUAGUAAUUUUAUAGUCAAUCAGUGUUAUAGGUCAGAUCAUUUUAGUAAUGUUAUAGUCAAUCAGUGUUAUAGGUCAGAUCAUUUUAGUAAUGUUAUAGUGAAUCAGUGUUAUAGGUCAGAUCAGUUUAGUAAAGUUAUAGUCAAUCAGUGUUAUAGGUCAGGUGUGGUUAGUAAAGUUAUUGUGUCAAUCAGUGUUAUAGGUCAGAUGAGUUUAGUAA
rnacentral:lncRNA from 1 species